AGCCAAUGUGGCAGUAGGCAAAACAGUUUUCAGGUCGGAAAAAGUCUUCUGGCCGGUAGAACAUCUAACAAAACAGGUGGACUGAUAUCCUAUUUUGCCGAUUGGCAUAGUUUUGAACUCUGCUUUAAUGUUUGAUCCGAUUUUGUGAAGCUCAUAUUGCAACGUAGUACUUGGACGUGUUCCAGAUUUAUCGGUAGUUAAAGGAA